UACGGAGGGGGCUAGCGUUGUUCGGAAUCACUGGGCGUAAAGCGCACGUAGGCGGAUUUGUAAGUCAGGGGUGAAAUCCCGGGGCUCAACCUCGGAACUGCCUUUGAUACUGCGAAUCUUGAGUCCGAUAGAGGUGGGUGGAAUUCCUAGUGUAGAGGUGAAAUUCGUAGAUAUUAGGAAGAACACCGGGUGGCGAAGGCGGCCCACUGGAUCGGUACUGACGCUGAGGUGCGAAAGCGUGGGGAGCAAACAGG
rnacentral:rRNA from 1 species